GUUUGCUUGGCAUAGUGGUAAGUAUGUCAGCUCGUUGCGCUGACGACGCGAGUUCGAUUCUUGUAGUGUGAG